rnacentral:snRNA from 1 species
GUGCUCGCUUUGGCAGCACAUAUACUAAAAUUGGAAUGAUACAGAGAAGAGUAGAAUGGCCCCUGUGCAAGCAUGACACACAAAUUCGUGAAGCAUUCCACAUUUAA